rnacentral:sRNA from 1 species
UUCUUUGUAUGAGGGGUGCAGUAUCCUAGUUGAUACAUCUAUUACGAAGACGAGCCUAAAAAUUCGUUAAAGAGCAUACCGAUGAAACUUCUUGUGCUUGCUUGAUUCGCCCAGAAUUGGGUGGGUGCUGGAAGGUAGUUUUAUGGGAAAUUUAUAAUGGCAUAUAAGUGAUCCCCAUUUAACGUUGAGACUUAAUUUUGUGCAUAAUGUACGGAUUAAGAUUAAACCUACUUUGAGGCGAAAGCUUUGGGUAGAGUAGCUUGCCUUGAGUGAAUGUACUUGGGAUUGUAGUUUGUGUAAUAUUAUUUAUGGCCAAAAUAUAUUAUAUGGUAUUACUAUAUGAAACUACAUUUGCAAAAGAGACUAGUAAUAGAUAAAUAUCAGGGAGGAAAUCUUCUAGGCUGUAUGCUGACAUAAGAUUGCAGUGCGUACUAAGUGGUAAUCAAGUCGUAUACUUAGGUGACGGUAUAUACAUUCAUUAAAGGGGAACCGCCUUUUGGUAACGAAAGGUUCGAAUUGUGGGAAAUCCUACUUGACCUAUGACGCAAAGUUAAUUAUUUCAGUACCAGUCAUAUUUUUU